GAAAAUAAAGAUCGUUCUGACAUGUUUACAGUACUUUAAAUUGUUCUUCCAGUUUUCUGCAGCUCUCAUUCCUGGCCACCAAGCAACACUGAGGAAAAGGGAAAGAAAAUGUGGCAAAAAAAUGAAAGAGGUUUUUGGGAGUUUAAUAUCAAAGGGAAGCAUCUGAGUAUUGACAACUUGAAAGUGAUUAAGUUUCUAAAUGGUAAUAGAUACAUACAUAAAUGUAUCCCGCUAUACCCAAAACCUGAAUUUUCCGUGAAGGAAGUCUGUCACGUCACAACAUCAGCAGGCCUGACAGGAAUAAUGAGUUCAAGUGGAUUUAAAGCAGGUAGAGGCGGUUUCAUUUAGUGGGGUCUUCACAUCACCAAGGAGGAAAUUGAAGCAGCAAAUAAUGACUUCCUUCAAAAGGAAAGGCUUGACCCAGGUUCCCAUCAGUUCCUGAAGGAAUUCACGACAUCCCCAGUCUUCCAGGAGGGAUCUCGGUAUGGAAACUUCAAGUUCACCUUCCCCUUGGAGGAUCUCAUGCAGAUGUACCAAGAGCAGAUCUGUGGAGGAACGAUGCCUGUCCUAAGAAUCUAUAAAACCACAGUUUACAAACAGGAGAUCAUGUACUCAGUGGUUGUCCAUAGUGCAGAGGUGGAGGAGUUUGAUGGGUAUCCACGUCUUCCUGUUGAGGAUAAUGAGGGAAUAUGUGCUUAUAGAAACGGCCAGAUUGUUUGGCAUGCAGAGGCAAUAUGUGAAACCCAUUGUCAUGAGCUGAUCAUCAAUGACGACGGUACAGUUGAAACAAGACGAAUGGGAUCAGGUCAGUUUUUUGUUUGGGACCAUGUGACACUGGCUUUCCAUAUGCCAGAUGACCAGACACUUAAAGUAGAUAAGAGAAUACUAACAGAAAAGCUAUGUGCUUGUGAGGUUAUUAAUCCUAAUCUUCUGAAAGGUGAGAUGGAGUUAGAGGUCGAAGAAGCAGAACAGGUGGUUGAUACCAUAAAGAUUAACUUAGAUUAGAUUCAACGUUACUGUCAUUGAACAAGUACAGUACAAUGAAAUGCAGUUAGCAUCUAACCAGAAGUGCAAAUAGAAGAGGGCAGAAUAUGUACAAGUAUUAAGUAUAAUGUAUGUUACAAGUGGGAUGUAUAGAUGUGCAAUGAAGGCAAAUACAGUAGAAAUCUCAAUUCUAAACAUGCAAUGAAGGCAAAUAGAGAAGGGCAAAAUAUUAACGCAUUAAGUAUAAU
ensembl:lncRNA